rnacentral:rRNA from 1 species
UACGUAGGGACCAAGCGUUGUCCGGAUUUAUUGGGCGUAAAGAGCGUGUAGGCGGUUCGGUAGGUCCGUUGUGAAAACUCGAGGCUCAACCUCGAGACGCCGAUGGAAACCCCCGAACUAGAGUCCGGAAGAGGAGAGUGGAAUUCCUGGUGUAGCGGUGAAAUGCGCAGAUAUCAGGAAGAACACCCGUGGCUAAGGCGGCUCUCUAGUACGGUACUGACGCUGAGACGCGAAAGCGUGGGGAGCGAACAGG